rnacentral:misc_RNA from 1 species
GAUGAAGAACGUAGCGAAAUGCGAUAAGUAGUGUGAAUUGCAGAAUUCAGUGAAUCAUCGAAUCUUUGAACGCACAUUGCGCCCCUUGGUAUUCCAUGGGGCAUGCCUGUUCGAGCGUCAUCUACACCCUCAAGCUCUGCUUGGUGUUGGGUGUCUGUCCCGCCUUUGCGCGUGGACUCGCCCCAAAUUCAUUGGCAGCGGUCCUUGCCUCCUCUCGCGCAGCACAUUUGCGCUUCUCGAGGUGCGCGGGCCGCGUCCACGAAGCAACUAUUACCGUCUUUGACCUCAGAUCAGGUAGGGAUACCCGCUGAACUUAAGCAUAUCAAUAAGCGGAGGA